AACCUCUUGACGGAACAUAUUUUCAUAUGAAUGGUGACGCACGAAGACUACUAUAGUUUUGAUACAGAGGUAAAAGACAACUCGGAAAUGGCCUAUUGAAAACCACUCUAACAAACCUUCGAGAUAAUUUUAUCGUUCUGUUUCGAUUUAGGCAAUUUCUCUACCAGGUCUAUCAUAAUUAUAAUUUUACAGUUCAUAGUUGGGAGGUUUUUUUUAUUAUUUGAUUUAGAGGAUUCGUUCGCGAGUGCAUUUUUUCAACCAUUCAUUUCCUGGGCGAUACUGCAACCUCGUGUGCUGCGAUGCCUGUGCUCAAAUUAAAAUGAGAGGUUACCUAGCUCUGAAGGCUUGGUUCCUUUGCUUUGGCGCCCCUCUGUCAACUUGGCGUCGUCUCAGCGUGUUCCAUAGUGAGCCCUGGGAGCGUUGAUUUCGGUUCGGUUGAGGCAAGCUACUGCAGAAAUCACAAGCUGCGUGCCAUGUAGAGCUCUUUACAGCCUUAAUCUCGACGAGACCUUUAAAGAAGAACAUACCAUCACUAACGUACCUCAAGAGUUGCAGAACAGCUGAAAGACAGCUGAAAUCGACAAACCCACGUGGAACGUCAAGCAUCACCUUCUAAGGGUCCUGUAAUUUGUUGCAUUAGAGAAUUCAGCUGGACAUGUGGCUGAACAGUGUACUGUAAGCUGCCAAGAUGUUUUGUGCCCAGAUACUUGAGAUUGUGUACACCUGUAGCUGUCCAGAUAGCAUUGAAAGUGCUUCAAGAGAACAUGAAAGAUUUGCCAGGCAGUAAAAGUUUGCUGAAGAUACAAGCACAUUGUGACAUGCGGACGGACUGCUCAACACUUUCACCCAACUGAUGAAGACUAACCGUAAGUGACUGAAAUGUUUGCCAUCUAGUCAUUCUAAGUGAUAACAUGUUACUAGAGCAGUUUUGAAUCGUUUAGGUACAGUGUAUGUACAACCAAAACCAAAGGAAUCACUCUGGCCAAACACAAAUUACGACAUUCCAGUACUAGUGAAGCAAUAGAAUGUGAAGCAAAAACAUUAAGCUAAUGCAAAGAGUAUGAUAAUGUGCUGGGAUGAGUCACAAUUUGUUUCUUGAGGUCCAAGGGCCAAUAAGACCAAAUGUUGGCCAUUUAAGAGACAGACUAAGUCAUUAUGAAAUGCAUAGGUGAUACUUAGUUUACUGACAAGCAAUACCUGUGACAUCACAGUCUCAAGGUAACUGAAAUUUACUUACAAUACAUGGUCCUUAACUGCAACCUUUGCCUGCUUCGACAUACUAUUGAAGAUGUAUUCUCAAAUGUAGGCUGCAGGCUUAAAAAUUGUCCAGUUUGAUAAGCUUGGCAAAAAUGCAAGCAUUAUGGUUGUACCAAGAUCUUUGUUUCUAUCCAGUAGAUUGCUGAUACAAGGGGACUCUUGAAAGUCCUCUCUUGUAACUAGGUAAAAAAAAGGUACGCAAUGCUUUCAUGUGUCUGCUGCCUUUUGUUGGUGAAUGUUUCUUUUAUUUUGGGCAAAACAGCUACAGAACACCAUCAAGAAACCCUCUUUUCUGUUCUUUUAUUGUAUCUUAGAAUGUGUUGUCUUUUUGAAGGCAUAGAAAUCCUGACUUAGUGGCUGUUUUGUGGCCUGUUUUUGACUGAAUGUAAGGAAAGAGAUAAAAAGAGUGCAUCAGGAAAAUGAAGUGUUAGGGAAGAGUUGUCGAGUAGCAAUUUGUCUAGUAGCAAGAAUAGUGAGUUGAAAAGAUACUUUUUGUUGCAAAUUAUUCAUCUCAUUGAAGAACAAAGCAGGUUAUUGUGGUAUUGAUUUUUUCUACAAGGGAGGAUACAUACUUCUUACAUGUACAUAAUGAAACAUUUAAAGACUAUGGGACUGAACUAAACGUAACAUUUUUAUUGGAAGUAAAGAAUAUCAUUUAAUUUACAGUAAUAACAGAAAGUUAACAUCUUACUUAUUAAGUGGUAUAUUAUCAACAUGAACAAUUAGACAGGUUUUGAAAAUGUUUCUUAUUUGUUACAGUUAGUCUGACUUACUUAAGUGGUACACUAACAUCAAGAAAUGUUUUUGAUGUUUCUUAUUUGUUAAACUUAUUCUGAACCAUUAGAACAUAACAUUUGAAUUUGAAAUAAAGAAUAACAUUUGAUUUACGGUAACAUCAACAGAAAGUUAACAUCUUACUUAACUUGUAUAUUAUCAACAUGAACAAUUAGAAAGAUUUUAAACAGUUUCUUAUUUGCAACAGUUACUCAGCUGACUUACCUAAGUUGUACAUUAACAUCAACAUCAAAAUUGAAUGUUUUUGAUGUUUGUUAUUUGUAACAGUUAUUAUGCAACUUUAGUGAUGAAGUUUGAUGUUAGUCAUAUGUGAAGUUAAUAUUUUCAAGAUCUAGAAGAGCUUCACUGAUUUGGUCAGACCUAGUGUCUUUAGUUAAGUUCUUUUUGCUUGAAAAUGCUUCAAUUGUGUCUGUAAAAGCUGUAAACCAAACCUCCUCUCCAUCACCGUCAGCACAGAGUCUUGCGGUAACAAUCUUAGUUGCAUUCUUUACUUUCUGUGGAGCACCACAAUGUGGUCACUGCACAAUAUUUUUUCCUGGCUCAUGUGACGUUUUUUUGUUGCAUGUUUUUAUGUGGCAGAUAAUAUAUAUGUUUAGUUUAUCAAUGAAUUUGAACUCAUUCACAGAGAUGGUUUUCUCUGCAUUGGCCAGAUGAUCUGGUCCUUUGAUUUUGUUUAAGGGGAACUGCGACCUUCUUGAAAUGAAGUGGUGGGAGUUGUUCCUAACAAUGUGUUACAUAUACCCACAAACUUAAGUGUUAUCGAUCAUGAGAAAACAUAAUACAACACUUCAUGUUGGAAAAUACACAAAUAGGUCAGCAUCAUUGUGCUGGAAAAAUAUGCAAAAUAAACAAUGGCUGUCAGGCAACAAGAAAUAAAAGAUCUCAUGUCAGAAAAAAUAUACGAAAUAGACAUUAACGCAAGAAAUAAUCUCAUCUCCCAGCAAAAAUUGGUGCAUCCAACAAAUAUCUAAUACGGGAAAAUAUCUACAAAGCAACAUUGUAAUGAGGCAAUAAUUAAUUAAACAUCUCAUGCCAGAAAAUAUAUAUAAACCAAAACAUUGGCUAUGAGGUAACAAAUAGUACAACAUCUCAUGCCGGAAAAUAUGUGAACUAAAUAUUGGCCAUGACGUAACAAAUAACAAAACAUCUCAUACUGGAAAAUAUGUGAACUUAGUAACAAAUAACAAAACAUCUCUUGCCAGAAAAAUAUAUUAAGCAAAUGAUAUGACAUUGGUUACGAGGAAACAAAUUAUAACACAUACAUGUAUUGUGUAUGGAAGUGACUGGUAGG